AUUGAACGCUGGCGGCAUGCCUUACACAUGCAAGUCGAACGGUAACGCGGGGCAACCUGGCGACGAGUGGCGAACGGGUGAGUAAUAUAUCGGAACGUGCCCAAUAGUGGGGGAUAGCCCGGCGAAAGCCGGAUUAAUACCGCAUACGACCUGAGGGUGAAAGCGGGGGAUCGCAAGACCUCGCGCUAUUGGAGCGGCCGAUAUCAGAUUAGGUAGUUGGUGGGGUAAAGGCCUACCAAGCCUACGAUCUGUAGCUGGUCUGAGAGGACGACCAGCCACACUGGGACUGAGACACGGCCCAGACUCCUACGGGAGGCAGCAGUGGGGAAUUUUGGACAAUGGGGGGCAACCCUGAUCCAGCCAUUCCGCGUGAGUGAAGAAGGCCUUCGGGUUGUAAAGCUCUUUUGUUCGGGGACGAAACGGUACGUCACCUAAUACGUGAGACUACUGACGGUA
rnacentral:rRNA from 1 species